CUCUCGCUGCUCCAGCUGCUCCAGCUGAGAGCACAGGUCUAACUACUCCUUUUGAUGGGCUAGAUGUCUCAAGUGCACACAAUGAAGCUCAGUCUACAGGAGAAUCUAAUCAAGGAGUGAGUGGUGGGAGAAAGCGUAAGCAAAGUCUUGGUGCUGCUAUUGAUGGUUUUGUGCAGUUUAAGAUGACACAAACAAGUAAAACCAUGAAAGCUCUCGAAGAAAAGAAGAAACAAGACGAACAAUUUUCAGUUGACAAAUGUCUCGAUGAAGUUGAUGUAAUGCAACUUACUGAUGUGGAAAAGGCAUAUGCUAUGAACAUCUUCAAAUCUGAGAUUGAUAGGGAGGUAUUCAUGAAAAUGAAAAACAAAAAUGUUCGCUUGAUUUGGCUCAAACAGCAAAUUAGGU
rnacentral:lncRNA from 1 species